rnacentral:tRNA from 1 species
UGCGGACGUAGCUCAGUCGGUAGAGCGAGGGACUGAAAAUCCCUGCGUCGGGGGUUCGAUUCCCUCCGUCCGCACCAU